UACGUAGGGGGCAAGCGUUGUCCGGAUUUAUUGGGCGUAAAGAGCGUGUAGGCGGCUAGAUAGGUCCGUUGUGAAAACUGGAGGCUCAACCUCCAGCUGUCGAUGGAAACCAUCUGGCUAGAGUCCGGAAGAGGAGAGUGGAAUUCCUGGUGUAGCGGUGAAAUGCGCAGAUAUCAGGAAGAACACCCGUGGCGAAGGCGGCUCUCUGGGACGUGGCUGACGCUGAGACGCGAAAGCGUGGGGAGCAAACAGG
rnacentral:rRNA from 1 species